CUUUAAGGUCACCUUCUGCUAUAGAAAAAUCAAACCCACCCUGGCACAAAAAUUGCAGUGGAAAGUUUAAGCAUAAUAAGCGUUGAUCAGCUUUUAGACUCGGUUUUGGAGACAACACAUCAAGUUGGAAGAUUAUCAGUCUCAGCUGCUACAAAUAUGCCUUACAUGGAAAUGGCUGGCCAGUGUGAGGCCAUUCAAAUGGGGAAGCAGCAGAAGUUGUCGACGUUUAUAGUUUCCCAGCAGAGACAAGAAAGUUUGAUUAGAUUUUCUAAUGAUUGCAACCAGGAAAAGGAAACUCUAUCUGUUGUUCCGCUGGGCACUCCUACGAGUGGAAAUCCAUUCCUUGAAUCAAGUGCUAUUUCACUCAACCAAUCUGUUGGCAAUGGCUCUUCGAUGAUUUGCGCAAUUGAGUAUCAUCCCUAUCCACACUUUCAGCUACCGGCAUCAGGCCCCUACGAUAACUUUUUAAAGGCUGCAGGUUGUUGA